rnacentral:lncRNA from 1 species
GUUUAAGUGGAAGUAAAGAUAUAUCUCAAGUAGUACGACAAUUGGACCUUUAAAUCAACGGGGAAUGGUAUUGGUACAGUCAUUGAGACGUGUGAUGAAUAUUCGCAAGAAAACAAAAUCAAAAGAAUGUCUGGGCAGUACUUAGAAUCAGAAAGUCCAGAUCCAUGUAUAAUUGUUUCUGAGGAUUAUUAUGAUCCAACAAAAACUCUGAACAUGCCUCUUUCACAACAAUAGAGAAGAUUUUAGAAAUCAGUUAGGUUUUUUUCCCUCCAAAAUACUAGUAAAUUUGAUUUAAAAUUUGUACCAAUAAAUCCCCCUUGACCCGAUUGCUAAAUAUUCACGCUCACCCCACUUAAUUUGUGUUCACUCCACCAUUUCCUUUAGAAGUGAAUUAUUUUAGUCUCUGCA